UUCCCAUCUCCUUCAGCUGUCAUACCCCUUUCCCCUUUCUUCCAAAAUCAAAUUCACCCACAGAACACAUAACAACAGCAAACAGAAAGAAAGAAAAGAGAAGAGGGGGUGCAAAUCAGAAGAGGGGAGAGUGCGCCGGCAAGUCACUGCCGUGCCGCUCGUCGCGCCGCCGUCGUCGCCGAUGAUGGAGGAACGAAGAGAGUGUGUCGCGGAGCAGGGAAAGCUCGCGCGAGUGAGGAGCGGCGCCACUACCGUCGCGCCGUGCGUCACCAACUUCGUUGCACCUCGUCAUCACCAUCGCCGACCGCCGUGGAGUCGUUACCGUCGCACCGGCGUUGCGAGCUGCUACCGAGCCACGAGCAACCCGAUGCGAAGAGAGAGAGACAGGGCAACGCGAGGAGAGAGAGAAGACGUUGCGGAGUAGUUUCUGCCGCAGCUGCUCUCUCUGCCAUCGCCAUGUGUGGAGCUCGCCGCCACUGGAGUCACAAGCUGAAGUGGGGAAGGAGGCCAUCUUUCCUAUGUUGUUGCAGUCACCAGUCACCGUGCUACUACUGCUACGCUUCGUUUUCUUUUUCCUUAAUUGCUGGUUAAGCUGUUGCAGCUAUGGAUUGUGAUGGUUGAUGUUUUUUUUAAGAAUCGUUGCUGCUGGGGUAAUUGAGAUUGCUGCUGCUAGUCCUAACGUUGCUACUGUUGCUGUUGAUUUGCCCCAAUUCAAGUUCAGUGUCACUGCCCUAGAGUUGUUUCUGUAUUUAAUUCCAUCAAAUUCGAUGUUGCUGCGAGUGUAAUCGGAGUUGGUAAUGCCGCCAUCAUAUCUCAACUUGGCCAACAUCAUCCUCAUUGUUCUGAUUCCAAUUUCCCCAAUUUUGAAACGCCCUUGUGGCUCCCAUUUUAUGCUACAAUUAGGUCAUGUAUUUACGUUGAUGCUGCCUUGGGACAGGGACUGUUGAAGCUAUGACCGGUUUUGUAGUAGCUUGUUGCUACCACCAAUACUGAUUUAUGGUAGAAUGAUGAGGCUGCGAUGUUGAGGGUGCAGUCCAGCCUACUAUCUCGCCAAAAUUCUGCCUUCGGUUUCUUUUAAUUGUGACAUUGAGGUUGAAAACUCGAUACUCUAUUGACUUUACGACGCAAGUGUGACCGGGCACUAUAUAAAUUCUCGGGAAUGUUAUCCCCAUUGAGCAAUAUUGAUUAUUUGAGAAAAAGCUAUGCAUAGACUCUUUGGGAUGCACGUUGGGGGACAGUCUAAGGACAAUUCAGACUUGUCAGGUUGAGUGGAUAAUCGACAGAUGAGCCUCAUCAGCCAUAGGACAGGCAUGUAUCAUAUGCAUCUGUAUGCUUUGCUUGGGUUUAAACUUAUUUUGGUUUGCCUAAUUGCUAAACUGUUCUUAACUGCUACUUGAACUAUUUGCUGUAACUGCUACCUACUUGUGCUUUCCUUGUCUGUCUUGCCUGUGUUUGUCCUGGCGUGCUACAUUUGAGAAUGAAUUUUGGUGCUAAAUUAAUGAUUGUGUUGUUUGAUUGCGUAGUUAAUUUCUGAAUGAGAUUUUCUUAUAAGAAAGGAAAAGGUUUUGGAUUUCUGAAAAAAAUUAAACGUUGUUUCUUUGAAAAGGUAUUGAACGAUUACCUAUUGGUUUUUAAGAGAUUCAUAAGACAAUGAUAAUCACUGAGCUUGAAAACAGUUUUCUUAUAAAAUAUCUUCUUAUGACAAUUCUGAAAUUCCGUGGUGAGACCGUGUGGUUAAGUUCUCACCCCUAACAGCUUUACCUUCAGGAAUCGGAGGAAGGAGUAUAGUGAAGAGUUAUACUACGUUUUUGGUUUAUAUGGUAUUGCAUUGAUUUGAUAAUUUUUCUUCCCUCGUCUUUGUUAUUACAAUCUUGUAAGAGAGACAGGAGUUGUUUGUUUUAUAUAUAUAUAUAUAUAUAUAUAUAUAUAUUACAUUAUAAGCUAUUAUGUAAGAAGUCUUUUAUGUGAAUCUAUGCCUGUUUGUUUUUUUUUAAGAUAAAGUAUUUAUUUUCGGUUUUAAAAGAAUUUAGUGAAACGGUAUCGAAUCAAAGGCUCUUAUUUUAAUAUUAAGUAUAUAAAGUGGUCGUAAUACUUCUUUCUAUCAGAGUGGCGCAGGCGAAAGCGUGACAUUUUGGUAGUGAGGGUGUUACAUUUUCUGAUUUAUUUCAUUUAAUUCGUUAAAGAAAAUUAAUUAUAAUUAAUUAAUAAUAUCAAUUAAUUAAUUUGAUUAGACAUUCAAAUCUCACAAUUUAUUAUAAUUUAUAUGAAUUGAUUAAUUAUAAUUAAUUAUAUCAAUAAAUUAAUUUAGUUAAUUAUAUUAAUUAAUUGAUUUGAUUGGAAUAAAUAUCAAAUUAUUUAAUAAAUAAUAAAUAUGAUAACGAAAUAUAUGAAUUAAUUUAAUUUGUUUAUUUUUCUCAAUACCAUCUAUUUAUACAAGAUCAAAUGUUUUUAACUCAUUCUCUUUCUCUCUCUCUCUCUCUCUCGUGUUUAGGGUACAAUUUUUGUAAUUUAUUUAAUUUUUGUUUCUUUUAUCUUUAUUUAUACAUUUCAUUUUUUUAUAUUUUUUUAAAUUUUUGUUUAUUUUAAUUGCUUAUUAUUAGGCGCAUACUUUUUUUUUAUUUUAGCUUCUGAUUAACAAAAAAAAUGUGUUAUCUUUACGUUGUUUUUAAAUAAUCUUAUUAUAAUUUUGUUUUGUAGUAUUCUAUUUUGUCAUGUGUACUUCAAUUCAUAUAUAUAUAUUGUUUUUUUUUGUGAUUCACAAUUAAUAUAUACAUUAUUCGUGCAUGUGGUUUAUAUGUUAAUGUUUUUAUUGAUUCUCUUUAUUAUUAUUUUUUGUGUGUCUCUUUAUUGCUCUUUAUUUUAGUUAUAUUAAUUGAUUUCUCUGUAUUGAUACUCUUUUUAUUUGAAAUAUCAUGACAAUUUAGAGUGUAUGUUGUGACCCAUGAGAUAUUCGUUAAUUUGGUGUAUCUUUUUAGAUGGUUUAUGUUAUAAUGUGUUUAAGGAUCGGAGUUGAAUUAAAAUUAUAAUAUGAUAUAUAAAUGAUUUAUAGUAUGCUAAAAUAUUAGGACAUUAUCAUAUAGAUAUUUUUUUAUUUAUCCUUUAUAUUCAAUUAUAUAGGAUCUUGAAAAUUAUGUAAUUAUGUAAUUAGUUAUUUUUUCAUAUAAUUAUUAUAUUGAUCAUUUACAUUAGUAAGACUAUUUUCAUUAUUAAUAUUUAUAAAUAUGCUAUUAUUUGAAUAAUUGAUUGAAUCAUCUUAUUCGUUUAAAUAUAAUUCUAUUGAAUUAAUUAUUCAAGGUGUCAUUGCUAUUUCUAUUUUUAAAGAAUUUUUUUAAUAUUAUUUAACAAUU